CGGGAAGCCAGGAGUUGGAAGUGCGCGGUCUCAGCGGUCGUGCCCGGGUGCUGCGUGAAAGGAGUGGCUGCAGGAAAGAGACUGCGAGUUUCUGGGACACGGAUCAAUAACUGGCGAAUUGAGGAAUCAGAAUCAGCGUCAGAUGUGGUGAAUUGUACAGCACAAGCUAAAUGUAGGACAGAAAAAAAUGAAAAUUAUAUUGAGAGCUGCAGAAAAACAUCGAGAGUGUUACUAAAGGGCAAGUUUGAGAAACAUCUAUGGCAUGUUGCUCUUGUCUGGACUUAACAUCAAAUUCUUCAAUUUCAGAUGCUGUCUGACCUCCUGAGUAUUUCCAGCAUUUUCUGUUUUUAUUGACUUGCUCAAAUGCCUGCUGAAGAUCCACAGUUACAGUGUGAAUACUAACCACUGAGGAAUACAGGGGAUAUGAUCUUCCACCGUGGAGUAGGUCCUAUAAAUACUGCAGAAAGCUGGACCAACCACAUGGAAUGGCCUUUCUUGUCUUCACAAAAGCCCUUGGCUCAAUUAGCUGAGAGAGAUAAUUAACAAUCUUUUCAAAAUUUAUCUGGUUGCAAGAAGAUUGCCAUCCAACUUAUAAGCUGUGACACUGAUGUAGACAAUUUUUCAGUAUAGACUGAGAUCAAACGAGGCAAUGAUCAAUUCCAUUUGGAACAUCUCAGCAAACAAAACAGUCCAUGCCCACACACACCACCUAGACAACAUUCAGACACAGGUUUAAAUGUAUCUCUUUGAUUGCAUUGAAACUAUAUCCUUAAUAUUGUAAUACAAACAGUACAGCAAAACUGCAUAAAAAUCAUAUUAGGGAAAGGAGCAUUAUAAAAAAGAAAUUCCAUUAACUCAGAGCCAUGGCAGCUGGAGGGACAAGUGGAACAAUAUUAUUUGUAGAUUGUCAAGAAACUGGAAGUAUAGAAAGGAUAUGUGCAAAUAAAGAAAAAAUAAAAUUAUUAUUGACAUAAUUUAUUUUUCAGCAUAAAGAUAAUAUGAAUACUUGAAAUCUGAAAUAACAAUUCUAAUAAUAAAGCUAUUUUAUUUCAGAAUGACAUAGAAGGCCAUUUGGCUCAUUGAGUCUAUGGCAGUUGGCAGAACAAUCCCAUUUCUCCAAUGAUUUCUCUGCAACCUAAUUCUCUCUUACAUGCUCAUCAUCUACUCCCUGACUGGUGUAUCAUUUAUGCUUUGGGUAUUUUACAGUUAUAAAUUAACAUGGUGUCUCUUGGGGAUGUGGGAAUAUAAACAGUAGCACCCAUUGAGAAUCCACAUGGCAAUGGAGAGAGAAUACGCAAAGUCAGAAUUGGACCUGCUGCUGUGAGACAUCAGCAUUAGUGAGAAAAUCAGGCUGCCUUGUAGAGAGAAAACAGAAUUAUAGUUUCAUUUGAAGUCCAAAGUCAAGUUUAUUGUCAUGUGCAUAGAUACAGGUAUGUGUAGGGAGAAUAAAAAUCCUACCUGCAGCAACAUAAUAUUGUAUCAGGUAAGGAGCAUUCACACGAAAACACAUAACUUAAAUAUGUCCAUUGUAGUGCAAGGUGAUAAAAGUGGUCAUAGAUUACCAAUCAUUCAACAGGAUUGAUUAUAACCUUCAAUUCUUGGAGGUUCACAGAGAGCCAUCUCAAACAAUUGACAAUCCUUCCUAUAAUGAGAAAACAAUGUUAUGAAACUUGCUCUGGAUUUCCAGCAUCUGCAGAAUAUCUUAUGGUUAAGAAAUGAAUGUGGUUUAUGAGCCAAAUGUUAUUGUCUUGGAUCACUGUACCAGAAUCUCAAAAGAAGGUUGCAAUGCCACCAGAAAUUGCUGGAAAUUACUUCAAUUACUUCAGUGUGUAACUAAACCAUAAUUAUUUCCAACAACUUACUUUCAACUACAAUAAAAUCAACUCACUGUAAAUUCUACUUCCUGAUAAACAAUAUGUGAAUCUAUAAAGUGAGAUAAUUUUAUUCCUUUUAAAGACUGCUUAGUUUAAUAAUAUUACAACCUUUUUAGUAUUGGAUGAGGAGAAGAAAUUCGACAUAGAGAAUUUCUCAGAAGUUGACAGAAAGCAUCUAAAGCAAGUGGUAUUGAAGUGGAUAGCAAACCAAAAUAAUAGUAACAUACAAAAAAUGUUGGAAAAACUCAGCAAGUCAGGCAGCAUUUACAGAAAGGAAUGAAGAGUCAACCUUUCAGGCUGAGACCCUCCAUCAGGAUUGAUGAAAGGUUUCAGCCUGAUAUAUCAAUUCUUUAUUCCUCUUCAUAGAUGCCGUCUAACCUGCUGAGUUCCUCCAGCAUCUUGUGUGUGUUCCUCUGGAUUUCCAGCAUCUGCAGAAUCUCUUGUGUAAACCCAAAUAAUUGUUCAAACCAACAAUUAAUGUGAACAAGAAUGGGAGAUAUCACCUGAUUUAUUUAAUCUUAUACUGUUAGAAUUAGCCAUUAUUGACUUUCCUGUUCAUGGAAACGAUCAUUCUUCUUGGGAUCCAAUGGCCAGGAAGGCGGCUCUGCCCCGCACCAUGGAGAGCGAGGGUCAUGACGAGGCACAUAAGAAGUCAUUGUUAUCCACUGCAACCAAGGAAGACCUCAGUUGUGAUGCUUGAUCGUAUCACUGGACCCUGACUUUUGAAGUUAAGAGUGAAACUGCACCAUUGCAAUGGCUUUUCCACUUAAAAAAUACUCUCCUGCACAGGUUUUCCCUUGUCAUCGGACUUGAUGGACAACCAUCAUCAUCGCCACUUUGAAGAAUAGUGGAGGAGUUUUACCUUCUUCAUCUUGUCUUUUAGUCUGUUCAAGCUCCCUCAGAGAACAUCAUUAAAACAGAA